rnacentral:rRNA from 1 species
GACGAACGCUGGCGGCGUGCUUAACACAUGCAAGUCGAACGGAAAGGCCCUGCUUUUGUGGGGUGCUCGAGUGGCGAACGGGUGAGUAACACGUGAGUAACCUGCCCUUGACUUUGGGAUAACUUCAGGAAACUGGGGCUAAUACCGGAUAGGAGCUCCUGCUGCAUGGUGGGGGUUGGAAAGUUUCGGCGGUUGGGGAUGGACUCGCGGCUUAUCAGCUUGUUUGUGGGGUAGUGGCUUACCAAGGCUUUGACGGGUAGCCGGCCUGUGAGGGUGACCGGCAAAAUGGGGACUGAGAGACGGCCCAGAAUCCAACGGGAGGCAGCAGUGGGGAAUAUUGCACAAUGGGAGGAAGCCUGAUGCAGAAACGCCGCGUGCGGGAUGACGGCCUUCGGGUUGUAAACCGAUUUCGCCUGUGACGAAGCGUGAGUGACGGUAAUGGGUAAAGAAGCACCGGCUAACUACGUG